UUCCGGUUGAUCCUGCCGGAGGACAUUGCUAUUGGGAUUCGAUUUAGCCAUGCUAGUCGAGCGAGUUUAGACUCGCGGCGAAUAGCUCAGUAACACGUGGCCAAGCUCCCCUUCAGUCAGCGAUACCCUCGGGAAACUGAGGUUAACAGCUGAUACAAAACGCCAGCUGGAAUGCGGCGUUUCAGAAAGACAUCGCUGAAGGAUGCGGCUGCGGCCGAUUAGGUAGACGGUGGGGUAACGGCCCACCGUGCCAGUAAUCGGUACGGGUGAUGAGAGUCAGAGCCCGGAGACUGAAUCUGAGACAAGAUUCCGGGCCCUACGGGGCGCAGCAGGCGCGAAACCUUUACACUGCACGGAAGUGCGAUAGGGGAAUCCCAAGUGCGAGGGCAUAUUAGCCCUCGCUUUUCUCGACUGUAAGGUGGUCGACGAAUAAGAGCUGGGCAAGACCGGUGCCAGCCGCCGCGGUAAUACCGGCAGCUCAAGUGAUGUCCCAUAUUAUUGGGCCUAAAGCGUCCGUAGCUGGCCGACCAAGUCUACCGGGAAAUCCACCCGCCCAACGGGUGGGCGUCCGGUAGAAACUGGCCGGCUUGGAACCGGAAGGCUCAGAGAGUACGUCCGGGGUAGGAGUGAAAUCCCGUAAUCCCGGACGGACUACCGAUGGCGAAAGCACUCUGAGAAGACGGCUUCGACAGUGAGGGACGAAAGCUCGGGUCUCAAACCGGAUUAGAUACCCCGGUAGUC
rnacentral:rRNA from 1 species